rnacentral:rRNA from 1 species
GAUGAACGCUGGCGGCGUGCUUAAUACAUGCAAGUCGAACGGAGUAUGUAGCAAUACGUACUUAGUGGCGAACGGGUGAGUAAUGCGUUGGUGACCUGCCCCAAAGCGUGGGAUACCAGUUCGAAAGGACUGCUAAUACCGCAUGUGAUCAUAGAGAUUGGAAGCUUUAUGAUGAAAGGAGUAACAUUCACUUUGGGAGGGGCCUGCGUCCCAUCAGCUAGUUGGUAAGGUAACGGCCUACCAAGGCGAUGACGGGUAGGGGACCUGAGAGGGUGACCCCCCACACUGGCACUGAAACACGGGCCAGACACCUACGGGUGGCUG